rnacentral:tRNA from 1 species
ACUGAUUUGGCUGAGUGGUUAAGGCAUUGGACUUAAGAUCCAACGGGGUACUGCCUGCGUCGGUUUAAACCUCACUACUGGUA